GAGCAGCUGCGGCCAGUGCGCGGCGCGCCGCGGCGGGUCGGCGCGCACCCAGCGCAGCGCCAGCUGGUAGGCGGCCUCCUCCUUGGGCACGCACAGCCCGUCGUCGCGCAGGUAGCGCAGCAGCCGCGCCAGGGGCAGCCGCUCCAGCUGCUCGGCGCCCAGCUCGCCCACGUGGCGCAGGAUGAAGCGCUGCGCCGCGCUCGCCAGCCCCGCGCAGCUGAAGGCCUCGGCGAAGUCCUGCAUGUCCAGGCAGUUGGUCAGGUCGAGCUGCUGCUGUAGGAAGGCGCCGCACGCCUCCUUCACGGCCGGGAACUGCAGCAGGUCGGCGGCGCGCAGCAGCGGCUCAGCGUUGUCGCCGCUCACCGCCACGCGGCCCGUGUAGCUGAAGUCGAGCAGCAGCUGCAGCAUGUCGGGCGGCACGCCAUGCAGGCGCACCCGCUCGGCGCGGCUCUCGCGCAGCUGCCCGGCGAACAUGGCGCGGAAGUAGGGGCUGGCGGCCGCCAGCACGGCGCGGUGCGCCGGGAAGUCGCGCCCUCCCGCUGCCUCCAGGGUCACGUCCAGGAACUUGCGCUCGGCGCGGAGCUGGCUCAGGCCGCGCAGCAGGCUUAGCGCGUGCGCAGGAUCCGAGAAGGGUAGCACGGCUAGGGGCGCCGGCCGCUCCAUGGCGCCUUGGCUGGGGGCGCGGGGCCGCUGCGCGCGCGCGCUACUCGGAAAAUCCGCCGCCAGGGCCAGCGGGAGAGACACUAGGAGCUGGUCGCCCCGGCUAUAAAUAGGGCCGGGCGCCUCGGCCUCCGGGGGGGCGGGGGCCGGGCGGGGGCGGGGCGUCACCGGCACCGCCCACUUAACCCCUCCGGGCCCGGCGCCGCCGCCCGUCCUGCCACCCGGCUGAGCUCGCUGACUCGCCUCCCCUCGCGUGCUCCCGCCCCCGCGCUCCAGGCUGAGUCACCGCCGCCCGCGCCCGUUCCCUCUCUCCGCCCUUCCGGGGCUUCCUGCAGCCUCCCGCCGACGCCCGAGACGGGGACACCGGGUGACAAGGGUCCUCUCCGAGGGGCGGCCCUGCCGUGCGCUGGGAUCGGGGGCCUCCAGGGCCUGCCCACCACCUACUCGGGCCCGGCUGCUGAACAAAACCCGGUGGUGGCGGAGGAAGCCACCCCUUUCGCGCCAGACUUCCCAACUGCUCCCGGGCGACUCGAUGAAACCUGAGUUUCUGUUAUUGGAUAGCAACCCCCAUGCCCUGUGGGCUUGGCAAAGACAUUCCAGACAGCAGCCUCAUUCCGCCCACGUGUGUCCCAGGGCAGGCCAGGCACACCAGGAGUUGCUGUCAUUUCUUGGUUCCAGCUCAGUCGGCACAGCCUUUGGAGAAGACAUCUUGGUUUUAUUCCAUCUCUGACAUGCAAACUGUAGGCUUUCUCUUCUACUUGUGAAUCUCCCAUCAUCUUGCCGUGAGAAGGUAUCUAGUCUAAAUGUCAGUAUGGGAAGCACAGGCCUAAGUCAGAAAGCAUUCAGGUACCCAGGCGGGCUGCCUGUUGCCCAUAGAUGGACUGUUCACACAGCUAUUAACAGCAGCAGCAGCAUUCCUGGGCCCAGGAGCCCGGCCAAUAAGCUUACUUGCUCAGGCUUUGUGACAAGAAAGUCUAAGUAGCCAGGAAGUGGGAUGUUUGUAGGGAAAAGUACUACAGUCCCUCUGGGUCAGAACUCAUCCACCUGGUAUAAAUCAAAUCUUUUAAAUGUUUCUGUAGUUAAGAACCGAGCCCAGUUUUAUGUAUUCCUAACAACAGGGGGUUAUUUAACUGAUGUUUCAGCCUUACUCUGAAGACUAAUGAUGCAAUAUUGAUUGAA